rnacentral:rRNA from 1 species
GACGAACGCUGGCGGCGUGCUUAACACAUGCAAGUCGAACGGAAAGGCCCUGCUUUUGUGGGGUGCUCGAGUGGCGAACGGGUGAGUAACACGUGAGUAACCUGCCCUUGACUUUGGGAUAACUUCAGGAAACUGGGGCUAAUACCGGAUAGGAGCUCCUGCUGCAUGGUGGGGGUUGGAAAGUUUCGGCGGUUGGGGAUGGACUCGCGGCUUACCAGCUUGUUGGUGGGGUAGUGGCUUACCAAGGCUUUGACGGGUAGCCGGCCUGAGAGGGUGACCGGCCACAUUGGGACUGAGAUACGGCCCAGACUCCUACGGGAGGCAGCAGUGGGGAAUAUUGCACAAUGGGCGGAAGCCUGAUGCAGCAACGCCGCGUGCGGGAUGACGGCCUUCGGGUUGUAGACCGCUUUCGCCUGUGACGAAGCGUGAGUGACGGUAAUGGGUAAAGAAGCACCGGCUAACUACGUG